rnacentral:rRNA from 1 species
UACAGAGGUCUCAAGCGUUGUUCGGAUUCAUUGGGCGUAAAGGGUGCGUAGGCGGCGCGGUAAGUCGGGUGUGAAAUCUCGGGGCUUAACUCCGAAACUGCAUUCGAUACUGCCGUGCUUGAGGACUGGAGAGGAGACUGGAAUUUACGGUGUAGCGGUGAAAUGCGUAGAUAUCGUAAGGAGGACCAGUGGCGAAGGCGGGUCUCUGGACAGUUCCUGACGCUGAGGCACGAAGGUCAGGGGAGCAAACGGG